CAGUCCAACUCUUACAUCUAUAUAUGACCACUGGAAAAACCAUAGCCUUGUCACUCAAAUACCCAAUAUACACUUAUCAAAUACAUCUCUCAUUACACCCAGGUUCUAGAGGUGGAGUGAGGUGCACUCAUCUUUCCUAAGGAGUCAGUGACUACUGUGAUCACUCUAUGCUCUUGUGAUUUCUUGUUUGGAGUCCAUCUUGUCCUUUAUAUUAUAAUUAUGCAAAGCUACAUGAGGGUAGGAGGUAUGUUCAACUCCUUAUCACUAGCAAAACUUAGUGUCUUGCAAACUUCAGCUAAUCCAUUAAUGACUUCAAAAUGAAAAUUAUUAAAUCAAGUUCUACUAAAAAUUAAAGUUGUACUAAGAUAAAGUAUAAAUAUGAAUGGUAAAGGUAAUUUCUAAUAUUGUAGUCACUUAGGACCCAGGAAGGCUAAAUUUCUUAGACUCAAUGGGUUUCAUUUCUGGCUGAACUUAAAAUCCACCAAAAAGUUUUUAAACUGUAACAGUACUGCUCCCCAUUACAAUCAGCUGAGUUAGAACCUAAGGGUAGAAUCUGGGUAUUAGCAUUAAAAAAAAAAAAUUCUCUAGGUUAUUCUAAUAUGCAGCCAGGGUUGAGGAACACAGAUCCAGGCUAAAAGACUACAAACAGUAAAGGUUAAUGCAGCUGGCUUGUGUCUUUAGGCAAUGUGAAGAGUAGCUAUCAGAAUUUGCACAAAUCGAUAGGAAAGAAUUCUCAAGGACACAGAGGUUCACAAAUGUCUAUGCUUCAGAGAUACAGGGAAAUGGGCAGAGAAGCUUUAGACAGAGACACAAGCUGUGCAACCAAGAAGGAAGAAAGUGGAUCGUCAUAUGCCCCCAAAAGAGUUCUUUUGUGUUCAUUUUCAAAGUGCUUACAGAAUUUCAGGCGACUGAAGUCAUUGGCAGGCAUCUUUGCAAAAAUACAGAUCAUAAUAUUUGAGAAACAAAAAGGAGAGGCCCUGAGGGCAGUUUAUAUUUUUCUUUUCAGAGAUGACCUGGAAAAUUAUACUUCUUUUUGCUGCAAGAACUUGUUAUGCUGGCAAAUAUUUGUAAAAGUGUGAGUUCAACUCAUGAGUUUUAUUUUAGCAGACAUCCAGAGUAGGGCCCACUUGCAUAAAACAAAUGUCAACCUUCCUUUCCAUUCCCAGGUCCAGUACUGGAUCUCAGUUUAUGCUUUCUUAUAAUGAGAUCUGCCAUGAAAUUUUCAACUAACAAAUGGCUGUCCAAACAAAUCCUUAUUGAUUGGAAGCCUUAUAACGAUUUGGUAUCUGAAUUUAUUACUAAAAAGUUCCUUAGGAAAAAAUUCAAAUACCAAGUAAAAAUCAAUUAAAAAGCAAAAUAGAUUAAAGUCUCAUCUUCCAUGGUUAUAUAGAUGAUCAUUCUGUUAGUUGAAUAUAAAGUUUGCCCCCAACUUCUCUCCUUUUUAUUUCCUAGACAUUAUGGUUUGUAUUUCUGCAGAGAUGCCUGCUAAUGACAUCAGUCACCUGAAGCUCUCCAAGCAUCUUUAAAAUAAACAGUAAGAACUCAGCCAACUGAUACACAUUUGUGAAAUAUUGUUUCAGCUCAUGAGUUUUAUUUAAAUAGCUGAAAGUGAUCCUAGCAUAGGUACAAGAUUAAAAGUAUAAUCUCUUGAUAAAAUCCUGACUCCACUGUUUCAUAAAAUCAAUACUCGUUUAACAAAUAUUUAUUCAGUACUUGCUAGUAGGCACUAGAUGUUUUAGAUGAUUGGAAGGUACUGGUGAAUAAAAGAGAGAAAUAUCUGUACCUUCUUGAUGCUAACACUGCUACUGAAGGAGGCUAGCAAUAAAAACAAUACAAUAAACUUAAUUUAUUAACACAUUGUAUAGCACAUUAAAAGUUAAACAUGUACAUAUUUUUUUCAAUAAAGGGUUUGGGGAUGCUGAAAGGAUCAGGAAUGUUUUAUAAUAUUAAAUAGAGUAACCAAGGUAAACUCAUCUCACAUGCUAGUAAAGUAAUGCUCAAAAUUCUCCAAGCCA
ensembl:lncRNA